rnacentral:rRNA from 2 species
CACGCCGUAAACGAUGAGUGCUAAGUAUCGGUAGAAUCGGUGCUCAAGCUAACGCAGUAAGCACUCCGCCUGGGGAGUACGGUCGCAAGACUGAAACUCAAAGGAAUUGACGGGGACUCGCACAAGCGGUGGAGCAUGCGGUUUAAUUCGAUGCAACGCGAAGAACCUUACCAGGUCUUGACAGUGUAAAGAAUACUUAAGAGAUUAAGGGCUAAGAAUUAAGCUUGCUUAUUUCACUUUAUAAACAGGUGG